AAUGGAUUUUUACUUAGAAUACCCUAGAAGAUAGCAUCUGGCUGAAGAGCCCAGAAUUAUUGAAUUUCUAUUCCCCCUGAAGGCAAUUAGAAACUAUGAUCAAGGCACACUUUAGCCUUUUUAUGGAGAAUUGUUACAGCAGCUUACUCAAAGAUGUGCAGAGUGCUAAGUGCUAUAUGCCAUCAGAAUACUCCCUGAGCUCGCUACUUGGAAAUUCUCUCAACAGAAGGCUUUUGAAGAAAGAGCUUGAAUAAGGUCAAAAUAGAAACACCUUUAUCUCUGCAUGCUCCAUGUCGAUGACAACAUGCCUUCGCCGAAGAGAGUAGCUUCUCCAUGACCUUUUGGACUCUUCUAAUGCCUGAUCUGAUAAAAAAGAUCUGGCAGCCAGGGGUGAAAUGAACUUGAGCUGAGGUCAAAAAGUGAAUCUCAUCACUCUUGAAUACUCAAGCAGCAAAGGUAUAUACCUUGGCAUUAGUCCCUUUCUCUGGAGGAACCGAAAUCUUGCAUGCAAACAUCUAAUGCGUAGAAAAUUUGGAUACAGUCAAAAUGGAGCUGCUCAUUAAUUCUGAAAUGUUCUCAUGUUCUACUGCAGAUUAUCUUUCCAUCACAGCACAAGUCUACCAUGUGUAGUACUUCAGUGCUGAGAUGCACUGAUCUCAUCAAUGUUCUCCUACAGAAGUUAAUAAGCCUGUGAGGAAAGUUUAUUUACAUUUUAACUAAUCCAUGUCUAGCCACUGUUGAUACAGUAAAGAAGAAAGUGCCUCAAAUAUCUUCAAGAAAAACAGUAGUUGUUUUGUGAAAUGGAAAGCGCUAAUGAUGUUGAUAGCUGCAACACGGUUAUUUUGAGCAUUACAGUGUACGUUAUUUAUGUUUCUAUUCAGCUUCUGCAAAUUGCAAGUGCUAUGAUGGUGUUGGAGUUUUCAGUUUUAUUUACUUUUGAAGAAUUUGGGUGCUUUACAUUCUAUUAAACCUGAGCUAGUCACUUUUUUAUAAAACAGUGUGUGCUAUUUUAAUGUAACAGGGAUUUAUGUGUAACAAAUAUCUUUUCUAAUGCCUUAAAAGCUAGCAAGGAUAGAAAUAAAUGUAUUUUAUGAACAUUCCUUUCAUUUUAAAGUGUUGCUCAACCAAGACAAUUUAUAACAUAA
rnacentral:lncRNA from 1 species